GCCCUCUUAGGGUCGCACCUGGAGAGUUUCCGGGCCUCUACCAGUCUCGACUACGGGAGGGAGAGUCAAGCGGAGGCACACCCAUUCCGUUCCUCGCUUGGGCGGUGGCUAGCGAGCGGAAGGCCGUCCGCGGCAAGU